UUUUUUUGGUACACGUUAAGCUUGUUCUUCCGAAAUUUCAAGCUGCGCCUUGUUAUGCCGAAAAUUCAAGCUAGCGUCUCUCUCUAUCGUGCUGCGAAACUCCCGCCUCUUCAACCCGCGCCUUGUCAGCCCGAAAUAUUUAAGAUAUAUCUUUGUCUCGUUGUGCUCCGACAACUCCCUCCAUCUCAACCCGCGCCUUGCUAUUCCGAAAUUACAACGCGCGCGAAAACUCCCACCUCCUGUGAAAUCCCGACAUGCAAAAUGCCCGUGGUACCCCUAAACCGAAAGAACCGCCUCAAAUCAGUGGGGGUACUUUCAUAACUUACCCCACAUUUCGGACAAGCGCGUCUCUAAGCCAUGGUUCCCCACUGACAUCCCAUCCGCCCACCCAUUCGUACACCAAGGCCGCGAAAACCCGCGACGAAACCCCACACCCUGCUCUGUCCGCCGCCCAGCCGGAGCCUCUUCCCCGACGACGUCGUCCACAGCAACACCUCGACGUCCCUCAUCCACCGUACCGGAUGAGGAUCCGUCGUCGAUCUCAUCGUCUCGCCGGUUCAGCCACCCCGUCCUCCACCUCCAAGGAGCUGCCCCGACGUUCCCUCGUCUUUCGCGCCACCUCCAUUCCCACACCGCCGUCUUCACCUGCACCACCGGAAGAGCAUCAUCAUCACCAUUUCCUCAGAUGAAGCUGCGGCCUAAUCGGCACCAUCAAAGAGGUUGUACACUAAUCGCCGCAUUUUCUUCUUGAUUCGAUCUCACGGUGUUGCCGGCGCUCACGGUGCUGCCGGCGCUCGGUCCCGAGCCGACACGGCGCGGCUCCAUCCACGGAGGCAUCGCCGGCCACUUCCUCCACGGCGUCGCUCCCUCGGCGGCGACGUCCACAUCAGUAGGAGCUGCUGCUGCUUUAGCUCUCGCUCGCGCUGCUGCUCUACUCUUUCUCUCGGUCCCUUGCCUGGUCUGCUCUUGCUAUUGCUCUUGCUCGCGCUGCUGCUCUCGCUCUUGCUCUUGCUUGCGAUGCUGCUCCGAUUUAGCUACACUUCAGUCGGCUGAAUCGACUUUUGGGUCAGUCAAUUUUCAGGGGGGUGGGAGGCUCGCCGGGGUGAAGGAAGAACCAGCUGCAGUGGAGAGGGGGGCUCGCCGGAGAGGUACCCCACUAUCUAUCUUAGGGUUCAGGAUGGGGCGGUGGUCGCCGGCGGUGGCGGGGCGUUGGCUGGGCGGUGGCGUGGGGAUCGCCAGAGAAAAAGCUCGGCACGGGGGGCCUAGAGGGAUCGCCGGGGCGGCGGCGGACCGGCGCUGGGGAGUGUUUUCGGGGAGGGCGGGGCAGCGCACCGCCGGCCGCGGGCGGCGGGGGGCUGCUGUUUGGCCGGUGGUGGCUGGCGGCUCAGGGGGGUGGAGGUUGAAGAUGAACCGCAGGCCCUUGAUUUCGUAUCCAACGGCUGCAAAAUCGACUGACCAGAGAUGAAAAAGUUAGUCGAACGACGUGUAGCCUCACCUUGCUAGUGCGUUCAGUUUCGACAGCAAAAUUCAGUUUCGACAGCAAAAUUCAGUUUCGACAGUUAAGUUCAGUUUCGACAGUUAAGUUCAGUUUCGACAGUUAAAUUCAGUUUCGACAGUUAAGUUCAGAGAGGAGCGGCUGAUGUAUUUUACAUCUAGCACUUUGUGGUUAUGUAUUUUACGUCAUGUAUUGGAGAUGCUAUUAGAAUUCCACUCAGGUUAACGUUGUUCGUUGUCUCUCUUGUCCUGCUUCAGCCUCGGCGUCGUACAACUCACCGGAGCUGCUCCAACGAUGAAACCCUCCAUCACAGCGGAGCAGUACCUCGGGCUCCAUCUCCAGACGCCUAAGAUCUUCUUCCCCUCCUCCGACAGCCAAGUCAGCCGAAGCAUCCUCACCGGCCAACCCAAUCACGCUGAGCUCGACAUGGCUUCGCCAAAGAGGUUGUACACUUGUUGCAUCUCUUUUUUACUCUACAUGUUAUAUAUAUUGUCCACUGAGCACUCGUAGUAACGGGAAAUACGAUUAUUUUAUCCUACUAUAUGACAAGCAGUGAGGUACCAGGCAACUUAGCAAUCCGUGAUGGACUCUCUUGAACGCCAUCAUUAUUUAUCUCUGCGCGUUUGAGCUGUGCAUUUGUCGAUGGGCCUGGGAGUUGAGCUAGUAUGGCAGUGGCCUGGGUCCAAAGUAAUAGAAGUAGCACAAAAACAUUUUUUUAGUGUAGGAUUUUCCUUGCUCAAGCCUGCCUACUAGAAUCGCCAGUGCUUGAAAGGAAAAGUGAAUGAAAAACAUUGGAAUUGCAAAGUUUCCUAUGGUACUACUUUUCAUGAAUUUGGUGCAAAGGAAUGGAGCAAAGGAAAACUGUAGGAUUGUUCCUUUAGUGUCUCCUUGAAAGAAAAACCGUAGGAAUUCUAAUUUCCACUUCUCCUCCUUUUCAUAUUCCUAUUCAUCAAGCACAAGACUAAGAGAUAGUAGCAUAAUAGCAUUAUAACCAUACAUUUUCUUGUGGUUUGACUUAAUCUCACCAUGCUUUUUUGCAUCCUGUGAUCUUCCAAUUGUUGUGAAUCAAACACCCAGAUUGGCAGAAAUCCUGUGUUUUUAAAUUCUCUGUUUUGCACGUGCAUUCCUAUCCUAUUCCUGUCUAUUUCCUAUCCCUGCAUUGUUAGAAUCCUCAAAUUCAAACAAGCCCUUACUCAAUUACUUCUGUUACAGAUAUGUGUCAAAGAAAACCUUGUGUGGUUUGUCCUGCUCCUGCGGUGCUGUGUUCCACCCCAGCUCAGCUGCUCCAACGAUGGAAGGGUUCACCACAGCAGGGAUCCGCUCUCCAGACUAUCUUUCGCCGCCUCAGAUCUUCUUCCCCGCCGCCGGCAGCCACGGCAACUGCAUUACCAUCAUCAACUGAGCAGAUGACCUUGAGGACUACACGGGUCCGCAAGAGAGGUCGCACUCUUCCGUGUCUGCUUAUGUUAUGCAUCGCUUAAUAUGAUGACAUGCUACAUUAUCGUCGUGUUCACCUAUUAGACUCCGAGUCAGGUCCAAACUAAUGCUGAAACUUGAGUUUUUAAAUGGUUGUGGGGUACAUAUUGGGGGCAGCAAUCAGUACUAUCUGUCUACUAUCUGGUUAAUCUCCGGUGUCUACUAUGAGUUUCAUGUUGGGUGCAAACAAACAUUAAAGGAGCCAUUAUCUAUAUUUUUUAACUAAAGCUAUUAUCUGCCUGCUAUCAUUGGUUUGGGGUCUAUCCACAGUUUGCUACCAUCACUCUGGAUUUGUGCAUGCACUCCUUACAUAAUCUCACUAUGUUUUAUUCCUAUGCAUGCCAGUUAUUGUACACAAUGGAACUGAUCAUGUAGAGCAAAAGAGACGAGCCUUGUGUGGCAAUAAAAUUUCAUGCAGACGUCGUUCCAUGGUGGGCGCAAAGGCAGCCCCCCCCCCUCCACCCAUUUCGGAUCAUAAUCAAGAGGAAGAUAAUUGUUCUGAAGGGGAUUCAGAAGGAGAAGACCACUCCUAUUUACCCCACGAGGUCUUCGCUCUAACUUGGCAUGCUGAUGUUGGUAAUAUCAUGCAUAUGGUGCCUUGCAUUGCUUACUGUAUACAUUAAAGAUGUCAUCUGCUUAGUUUAGACAUGCUUUGUGUCAAUGUCAUCUGUUUAGUUUCUUUAUCGUAUAUGUGAAUCAUGCAAUGCCAUCUUGUCUAGCCAGGCAUCAUAUAUGUGAAUUUUGCAACGCCACCCUGGUUAGCCAGUCAUCUUAUAUGUGAAUUAUAUCAUGCCAUCAUUUUUUUAUUACGUGUUAAAUUUGUCAACAAUUUUAGUACAUUCAAUUACUCUUCCUGUGCAUCAGCCAUUCGGCACGGUCAUGGAAAAAUCUGGAGUGGAAACAAGGUCUUCAGAGCAGACAAUGCUAUCUGACGAAGCGCAUGUCUUGCUGGUUACCGAUAGCUCCUCAGAGGAGGAUUCAGAGACAGAUGACCAGUCAUAUUCCCCCCCCCCCCCGAGGUGCAUGCCCUAACUUGGCAGGGUUAUGUUGCUCAUAUCGUGNNNNNNNNNNAAAAAUCUGGAGUGGAAACAAGGUCUUCAGAGCAGACAAUGCUAUCUGACGAAGCGCAUGUCUUGCUGGUUACCGAUAGCUCCUCAGAGGAGGAUUCAGAGACAGAUGACCAGUCAUAUUCCCCCCCCCCCGAGGUGCAUGCCCUAACUUGGCAGGGUUAUGUUGCUCAUAUCGUGUGUAUGGUAUCUUGCAUUGCUAUGUCAUUUGCUUAGUUUAGACAUGCUUUGUGUGAAUGCCACCUGUUUAGUGUCUAAUUACCAUAUAUGUGAAUUAUGCAAUGCCAUCUUGUUGCAAGUCAUUAUAUAUGUGAAUUAUGCAAUGUUAUCUUGUUGCAAGGCAUUACGUAUGUGAAUUAUGCAAUGCCAUGCUGUUUAGGCAAGCGUCAUAUAUGUGAAUUAUAUCAUGCCGUCCUUUUUUUUGUAUUUCUCAUUGCUUUUGUCGACAAUGUUUGUAUAUUCAACUGCUCUUCCUGUGCAUCAGCCAUUUGAAUUGGUGAUGGAGAAAUCUGGAGUGAAAACAAGGUCUUCAGAGCAGACAAUGCUACCUGCUGAAGCAGAUAUCUUGCUGGUUACAGAUAGCUCUUGAGAGGAGGAUUCAGAGGCAGAUGACCAGUCCUAUUAUCCCCCUGAGGUGUAUGCUCAAACUUGGCAGGGUUAUAUUACUCAUAUAAUGCAUAUGUUGUAUUGCAAUGCUUAGUUUUUACAUCAUAUACACAAUAUUGAAUGCCAUCUCCUUAGUUGACACAUCAUAUAUGCGAUUGCCCUCUGCUUACUUCCUUAGUAUAUAAAUAAUAUAUUUGAAUUAUGUCAUGCCAUGAUGUUUACAUAGACAGCAUGUAUCUGAAUUAUGGCAUGCCAACCCAUUUUCUAAAGACAUAAUAUAGUUGUAUCAUCUCAUCCUGUUUACAUAGUCAUCAUAUUUUAAAUUAUGUCAUUCUAUCCAUGAAUUAUAUCAUGCCAUCAUGUUUCCAUCGACGGCAUGUUUGUGAUUUAUGGCAUGCCAACCACUUUAAUAGACACAUCGUAUAGUUAUAUCAUGUCAUCCUGUUUACAUAGUCAUCAUAUUUUGAAGUAUGUCAUUCUAUCAUGUUUAGUUAGCCAUCAUACAUGUGAAAUUGUGUCAUGCUAUCCUGUUUAAUUAGCCAUCAUAUAUGUGAAAUUAUGUCCUGCUAUUCUGUUUGCUUAGACAACAUAAAUGUGAAUUAUUUCAUGCCCUGUUUUCUUCCCUACUAUCCAUUGCACCUGUCUAUCUUACAAUGUUUGUACAUUCAAUUACUUUUCUUGUUUAUCAGCCAUUUCAAUUGGAGGGAGUGAUGGCAGUAUCUGUGGGAGUAAAAACACGGUCUUCAGAAAAGAUCGUGCUACCUGUCGAUGCAGAUAGAACCACGGUUGUACUUGCCCAAGAACCAGCCCCACCACACAUAACCCACACUCAUGCAGAUUGUACCCCUACCCAGUUGGACAGAGAACCAGCUACACCCCUUCUAACCCCAACCCCAGCAGAUAGACACCCAGUUCCCGUUGACACAGCACCGUCUCCACCACAGAGCACCCAAACACGAGCAGUUAGUAAGGCAACUGCAGUGCCCAAAUCACGAGGACCACCACUCCGAACCUGAAGUCAACGCUUAAAGCAGAAGAAGAAUUGUUCUCAGGUCAGGUUCCGUAGCUAUGGUUCAUACUACUUUGCUCUUGCAUCACUGUAUUUACUGAUACCAACUAAUUUCAAAUUUGAAGGAUCCAAUUGAAACUCCAAUGGCGCAACAGGUAUGUUUUAAACCUGUUUCUUCAACGUGUUUGGCUGUUUUCUGUUGUAACUUGCUCUAUGUUGAUUUCAGUUUCAAUUGAAUAAACAGUUAUGUUCUCAUGCCAUGCACAUUACAAGUGUUGUUAUUGCUGUGUAGUUUCCCACACUUAUAUUCUGUCUAUGCUGCUUUGUCUUAAAUAGAUAUGAUUCGAACUGUAUCUAUCUUGAUUUGGCAACAUAAACUAGAAUGAUAUAGACCAUACAGUGACCAUACUACAUAGAUAUAUGCUUGUUUCAUGCUGUUAUCCUGUCCACCUUACUACUGAACUGGUUUACCAAAAUGAGUUUCAUAUACUACAUUGUAAACCUAAGAUGUGUUUGUUUGUUUCUCUUUUAGAACGCGGAUAAAAUAUUGGAGAAGAGUACCCUGUUAUGCAAUGGUAAAGGAAGUAAUGCAGAUAAGGUUCAAGAUAGUGAGACAUCCCUGUUGGUCUCCAAGAAAGCUGAUAAAAACUAUAUUGAAGACACUGAGACAACCCCAAAGUCCUGUCUUGAUGUAGUGUUCGAGUUACUGGCUACCACUGCUGGCACCAGCUCUUCGAACUCGUUGCCUGAAUCAGUUCGGCUUCUUGAGUCUCAACUUCAAGUUGAAAGACAUUGAUCAGAUGUUAUGCGACAGGAAGCCGAAGGACUGAGGAAGUCCCUGCAGAAUUCAGAUGCAUACUUUCUGGUGCAACAGCAAGCGCUGGAGGACUUAAGCGCCAAACAAGAGAAAGUUAAUAAGCUUGCUAAGCAUCUUGCCAGCAUUAUGGGUACCCAGGAUAUUCUUUCUUGAGCUCUUCUGAAGUGGUUUCAGUUCUGGACUUGUUUUGCUGCGGCGUUUAUAUGCUGUUGUGUUCCCUAUAUUUGCACUGGUGGCGAACUUUGAUGCCCAGUGGAUGUAAUAUGUGUAAUAGCCAUGAUAGCCUAGUGUAAGUUGCUUGCUUAUUUAUUUCCUUGUUGUCUUGUUUAUUUGUUUGCUUGUAGUCAGUGCAGUUCUUUUUCUGCGGUUUGCUAGUGGCUGCAAUAACCUAUUUUUUUAACUAGGCCACAAUAACCAUGGGCUAAUAUUUACUGUAGUGACACUGGGCCUCCUACGGGCCGUAGAAACAGUGGGCCUUCUACGGGUCGUAGAAACAGUGGGCCUUCUACGGGCCGUAGAAACAGUGGGCCUUCUACGGGCCGUAGAAACAAUGGGCCUUCUACGGGCCGUAUCAUCAAUGGGCCUUAUACGGGCCGUAUCAUCAAUGGGCCUUAUACGGGCCGUAUGAUCGAUUGGCCAAACAUGGGCCAAACAGACCGCAUUCUGACCGUAAACGGGCUAGAGUUGGAAUUGUCCGUUCAUGGGCCAACCAUAACGGGCCAUCGUUAAUAGGCCGUAUUUGAUGACGCUAUGAAAACGGCCCAACGUAUUAACGGACCACAAGCGGGCCGACUGUAACCACGGGCUGAAUUUGGCCCACAAGCAGAAAAUGACAGUAACGGGCCAUAAGUAAACGAAUGCUGGAAAAUAGCCCAAGAAUAAAUGGGCUCUGAAAAGGCCAAAAGAUAACAUGGCUGGAAAUGGCCCAACGGAAUAACGGGCCGUUAAUGGGUAUAAAGUGAUACACUGUUCUUUACGGGCCAGUUUCACCACGGGCCGUUAAUGGGUGUAAAGUGAUACACUGUUCAUUACGGGCCAGUUUCACCACGGGCCGUUAAUAGGCCAAGAGUUACAUAGGGCCUCAUAUGGGCCGAAACACGUCAUGGGCCAUACAUGGGCCAGAAGUGAAAACGGGCUGGAAUCAUAUUGGAUGGCCCAGAUGACGCUACUGGGCCUAAUUCGAAUAGGGCGUAACGGGCCUUGGGUUAGCGGGCUGUAAAUGGGCUAUAUGCAAACAGGUCGUUAACAGGCUUUCCAUGGGCCGGCCCGCCACCUUUUGACCAAGUCAAACGGGCCGGCGUUUUCACAGGAAUGGGCCUCUGUUGGGCCGUGCCACGUGUCGACGUAUCAUAGGCGCCUUUUGUCCAAUGAGUGGAUGACAUUUGUCCCAGCGAUGAGCCGACACGUGUUUCCUCCAGCCAAUGAUGAUUUCACACGUGGAAAAUCCCCAUUGGUCGGGGCUGUUAACGGGUUAUCGGAUCCAAAACCUGACCCGAUAGCUUAACGGCAUUCCGUUACGGUGGAUGCCACAUGUCGGUCACCCUUGAUGAAAGCACUUCUGUGACGCGCGAUUUAUCGUCAUGGAAGUGGACACUUCCGUGAUGAUAAUUUUGGUAAUGUCAUGGAACACUUCUACGACAGCACAGGUAUGACUAUCUUGAUUCUGUCAUAAAUUUUUCAUGGAUGUACAUGCAUGACAAAAAACGCGACCUACUGUGACAAACACGUAUCAUCACGGAAGUGUAUUUUUUGUAGUGUUGAAGAUGCGAUGGGAGGCUGGAGCCUCAGCGCCACCCAGGAUGCAACCGAUGGCACGAGGCUCCUGGAAGCCCCCAGUCCCCUCGUCCUGGUGGUGGUCAUCAUUCCUUCUUGGUAGUGGCGGCAGCGAAGGAAGGCCCGCGUUGCCCUGAGGACGGUCCUCGCGAGGUUGAUCCCUCCAGGCGCCCUCAUGAGGUUGGCCCUGCCAGCGGUCCUCACGAGGCUGAUUGCGCCACUCUUGGCAUGGGUCACGGAUGUCCCAGCGUCCUCCGUCAUGGCCACCUCUGCGGUCGUAGCCUCAAUAGUUGCGCUCGGGGCGACGACUGAGGCGCCCGUCGUGGAUGCCCCUGAGCUCUUGGCAGUCGUUGGUGUUGUGGUUGUGCACGUUGUGGAAGACGCGGAAUGGGCAACUGCCCUUGGUUGACUCCGGGUGGCCGCAGCCGUGCUUCAUCUUUGGUUCGGCCGCGAGCACGGCCGCUCCCUUGCGCUUCAUGUCAUUGGCCUUGGCCUUCUUGUCUUCUGGGUCCACGUCACGGAGCUCGAGAAGGGAGAACCGCCCCUCCUCGGCUCUCGCACACUUGGUCGCCAUGUUAAACAUCUCCAGAGCCGUGCAUAGGUCCUCGUGUAUGGCGAGCUCCUCCUUCAUCUUGAUGUCGCGGACUCCAUCAGUGAAUGCCGAGAUGGUGGCCUCAUCCGACACCUUGGGGAUCUUGAGGCAAACACUGUUGAAGCGCUAGAUGUACUUCUGCAAGGUCUCUCCUGGCUGCUGCUUGAUGCGCAGGUCACCCGCAGUCGGCGGGCGGUCGCGAGUGCCCUGGAAGUUGGCGACGAAACGCUCUCACAUCUUGUCCCAGGAGGAGAUCGAUCCCGCGGAGAGGUUCAGGAGCCACGAGCGCGCGCCGUCUUUGAGGCCCAUGGGAAACCAGUUCGCCAUAACCUUCUCGUCACCGUUGGCCGCCUCGAUGCUCAACUCGUAGAGCUGUAGGAACUCAACAGGGUCGGGGGUGCCAUCGUAGCGUGGAGGCAGGUUGGGCUUGAACUUUCCCAGCCAGAUGACGCUGCAUAGCUCUGGGGUGAAGGCGCGGCAGCCCACUGUGGUCACGGGAGCCCGUCGUGGAGGUGGAGCCUGGUCUUGGCGUGGCGCUGCUGGGAGCGCACGCGCCUCUCCUUGCGACCGCUGCACCACCUGGCAGCUUUCUUCUUCAUGCGCCGGUGCCCUGCGCGGCUGGUCGCACUGCGGGGCCUUGCGCCUUGGCUCGAGAGCGACGUCUUGACGGGGAGGUGGUGGAGGUGCUCCGUGGGCCACGUCACCCGCGGCAGGCGGCGGGUGAGGCAGCGAGCGGGAUGGUGCAGGAGAAUCUCCGGCGGCGCUGACAAGCUCGGCGAUGCGGUCCAGCCAGUCUUCGUAGAGGUCGUCGAUGGGGCGGUAGCGCAGGAGCUCGCGCGCCAUGAGCAACGCAACCUGCGCGUUCGCCGGCCCGCGACGAGCGUGAGACGACGAAUCAGCCGGAGUCAGCGAUGGGGUGGCAGUGCGCCAAUCCCGCCGCACAGAAGGGUGCAGCGACGAAGCUUGUUGCUCAUGCCCCGCAGGGCCAGUGGUGGCAUUCUCCACUGGAGACGGGGGACGGCGAGGGCAGCCGUCACCCGCUGGUGAUGUCUGAGCAACGCGGGCGGCAAGGGCGGCCCGACGCUCAGCACGAGCUCGACGAGCAUCAGCCAUGGAAGCGGUGGAGCGGUGGUGGAUCGACCGGCGGAAGAGAGGCUCCGACGCACCCCUAUGAUACGUCUCCAACGUAUCUAUAAUUUUUUAUUGUUCCAUGCUAUUAUAUUAUCUGUUUUGGAUGUUUAAUGGGCUUUAAUAUGCUCUUUUAUAUUAUUUUUGGGACUAACCUAUUAACCGAAGGCCCAGUGCAAAUUGCUGUUUUUUUGCCUAUUUUAGUGUUUCACAGAAAAGAAAUAUCAAACGGAAUCCAAACGGAACAAAACCUUCGCCAGGAUCUUUCUUGGAACAAACGCAAUCCAGGAGACUUGGAGUGGAAGUCAGAGACGCAACGAGGCGGCCACGAGGCAGGAGGGCGAGCCCCCACCCUCGUGGGCCCCUCGUAGCUCCACCGACGUACUUCUUUCGCCUAUAUAUACUCUUAUACCAUGAAAACAUCCAAGAGAGCCACGAAACCACUUUUCCACCGCCGCAACCUUCUGUACCCGUGAGAUCGCAUCUUGGGGCCUUUUCCAGUGAUCUACCGGGGGGGAUUCGGUCACGGAGGGCUUCUACAUCAACACCAUAGCCUCUCCGAUGAUGUGUGAGUAGUUUAACACAGACCUUCGGGUCCAUAGUUAUUAGCUAGAUGGCUUCUUCUCUCUCUUUGGUUCUCAAUAAAAAGUUUUCCUCAAUGUUCUUGGAGAUCUAUUCGAUGUAAUACUCUUUUGUGGUGUGUUUGCCGAGAUCUGAUGAAUUGUGGGUUUAUGAACUUGAUUAUCUAUGAAUAUUAUUUGGUUCUUCUCUGAAUUCUUAUAUGCAUGAUUUGAUAUCUUUGCAAGUCUCUUCGAAUUAUCGGUUUAGUUUGGCCUACUAGAUUGAUCUUUCUUGCAAUGGGAGAAGUGCUUAGCUUUGGGUUCAAUCUUGCGGUGCUCGAUCCCAGUGACAGAAACGGAACCGACACGUAUUGUAUUGUUUCCAUCGAGGAUAAAAAGAUGGGGUUUAUAUCACAUUGCUUGAGUUUAUCCCUCUACAUCAUGUCAUCUUGCCUAAUGCGUUACUCCGUUCUUAUGAACUUAAUACUCUAGAUGCAUGCUGGAUAGCGGUCGAUGUGUGGAGUAAUAGUAGUAGAUGCAGAAUCGUUUCGGUCUACUUGACACGGACGUGAUGCCUAUAUUCAUGAUCAUUGCCUUAGAUAUCAUCAUAACUAUGCGCUUUUCUAUCAACUGCUCGGCAGUAAUUUGUUCACCCAAUGUAAUAUAUGCUAUCAUGAGAGGAGCCACCAGUGAAACCUAGGGCCCCUGGGUCUACUUUACAUCAUAUAAGUUUCUGAUCUAUAAUUCUAGUUUACUAUUUAUUUUGCAAUCUCUAUUUUCCAAUCUAUACAACAAAAAUACCAAAAAUAUUUAUAUUAUUAUCGUUAUCAUAUCUCACUUUUGCAAGUGGCCGUGAAGGGAUUGACAACCCCUUUAUCGCGUUGGUUGCAAGGCUCUUGAUUGUUUGUUCAGGUACUAGGCGACUUGCGUGUAGUCUCCUACUGGAUUGAUACCUUGGUUCUCAAAAACUGAGGGAAAUACUUACGCUAAUUUGCUGCAUCACCCUUUCCUCUUCAAGGGAAAACCAACGCAUGCUCAAGAGGUAGCAAGAAGGAUUUCUGGCGCCGUUGCCUGGGAGAUCUACGCUCAAGUCAAGACAUACCAAGUACCCAUCACAAACUCUUCUCCCUCGCAUUAAAUUAUUUGCCAUUUGCUUCUCGUUUUCCUCUCCCCCACUUCACCUUUUCCUUUUCUUCGCCCUUCUUCCGUUCGAUCUUUUGUUUGCUUGUGUUACCAUGUACCUUCUUUUUGCUUGCAUCUUCGCUUGCUAAAAGUUUAUGGAUCCUCAUCCACUUGCUAAUCUUUGUAAGAGAUCCAAUUAUGAUGAACCUUUUGCCAGUGAGUUGAGUGCACUAGAUUAUCUUUAUGAGGUUUUGCUUGAAAUUCGUGAAUCUGAAAAUUGUGAUGAAGUACUUUAUGAAGCGAUUCACGAUAGACCUUUGAAUAAAAAGGAUGAUUGCAAUGAUUUUAAUAUAAAUUCUAUCGAUGUAAAUUGUGCUAAUAAUAUGCAAAACCCUAAGCUUGGGGAUGCUAGUUUUGCUAUGUCCUCUACUUGUUGCAAUGGUCAUGAUUAGGGUGAUAGUGCUUCUUAUGAUCUUGAAAAUUUAUUUAAGCCCCAUGAUGAAUAUGAGAUUGAUAAUAGUGUUUGCAAUAUUAUUGAAAGUGGUUUUGGAAGAGUGUCAACUUUAGAUCCCACAUAUUUGGAUAAUGUUCAAUCUUAUGAAGUUUUUGAUAAAAGUGGGUUCGGAGAGGUCAUGACUUUAUUUUAUGAUAAUCCCACUAUUUUGGAAGAGUGUCAACUUUGCAUGCAUGUGGAUCAUGUUGAGAAAAUUUUAUUUGAUAGUUAUACUAUUGAAUUUGCUUAUGACCCUACAUGUAAUUAUUAUGAGAGAGGAGAAUACGGUUGUAGAAAUUUUCAUGUUACUAAAUUACCUCUCGUUAUGUUGAGAUUGUUAUUGUUUCUCACUUCUUUCUUGCAUAUGCUAGUUUUUGCUUGUCUUGAUAAUUUAUUUGCCUAUAAGAUUCCUAUGCAUAGGAAGUAUGUUAGACUUAGGUGUGUUUUUUUAUAUGCUAUAUGAAACUCUCUUUGUGCUUCAAUUCUUGUCUUUCAUGUGAGCAUCAUUGAAAUCUCAAUGCCUAGCUAGGGGCGUUAAACGACAGCGCUUGUUGGGAGGCAACCCAAUUUAUUUUUGUUCUUUGCUUUUUUUUAGUAAUAAAUAAUUCAUCUAGCCUCUGUUUAGAUGUGGUUUUAUGUUUUAAUUAGUGUUUGUGCCAAGUAGAACCUUUGGGAAGACAUGGGAGAAGUCUUUGCAAUCUUGCUGUAAAAAAACAGAAACUUUUGUGCUCACGAGAUUAGAUGCCUUUUUUUACUCGAGAGUGAUUUUAGGUUGAUUCGUUUUGCAGAUGAUUAAUAGACAAAUUCCUCACGUCCACCAAUUUAUUUCAGAAUUGUUUUAGUUACAGAAGUAUACGUUUGAUUCAGAUUGCUACAGACUGUUCUGUUCUUGACAGAUUCUGUUUUUCGUGUGUUGUUUGCUUAUUUUGAUGAAUCUAUGGCUAGUAUCGGGGGGUAUGAACCAUAGAGAAGUUGGAAUACAGUAGAUUUAACACCAAUAUAAAUAAAUAAUGAGUUCAUUACAGUACAUUAAAGUGGUGAUUUGUUUUCUUAUACUAACGGAGCCCAUGAGAUUUUCUGUUUAAGUUUUGUGUUGUGAAGUUUUCAAGUUUUUGGGUAAGAUUUGAUGGAUUUUGGAAUAAGGAGUGACAAGAGCCUAAGCUUGGGAUUCCCAAGGCACCCCAAGGUAAAAUUCAAGGACAACCAAAAGCCUAAGCUUGGGGAUGCCCCGGAAGGCAUCCCCUCUUUCAUCUUCGUCUAUCGGUAACUUUACUUGAGGCUAUAUUUUUAUUCACCACAUGAUAUGUGUUUUGCUUGGAGCGUCUUGUAUGAUUUGAGUCUUUGCUUUUUAGUUUACCACAAUCAUCCUUGAUGUACACACCUUUUGGGAGAGACACACAUGAAUCGGAAUUUAUUAGGAUACUCUAUGUGCUUUACUUAUAUCUUUUGAGCUAGAUAAUUUUGCUCUAGUGCUUCGCUUAUAUCUUUUAGAGCACGGUGGUGGUUUUAUUUUAUAGAAAUUAUUGAUCUCUCAUGAUUCACUUAUAUUAUUUGGAGAGUCUUUUAGAACAGCAUGGUAAUUUGCUUUGGCUAUAAAAUUAUUCCGAAUAUGAUAGGCAUCCAAGAUGGGUAUAAUAAAAACUUCCAUAUAGAGUGCAUUGAAUACUAUGAGAAGUUUGAUACUUGAUGAUUGUUUUGAGAUAUGAAGAUGGUGAUAUUAGAGUCGUGCUAGUUGAGUAAUUGUGAAUUUGAGAAAUAUUUGUGUUGAGGUUUGCAAGUCCCGUAGCAUGCACGUAUGGUAACCGUUAUGUAACAAAUUUGAAGCAUGAGGUGUUUCUUUGAUUGUCCUCCUUAUGAGUGGCGGUCGGGGACGAGCGAUGGUAUUUUCUACCAAUAUAUCCCCCUAGGAGCAUGCGCUAGUGCUUGGUUUUGAUGACUUGUAGAUUUUUGCAAUAAGUAUGUGAGUUCUUUAUGACUAAUGUUGAGUCCAUGGAUUAUACGCACUCUCACCCUUCCAUCAUUGCUAGCCUCUUCGGUACCGUGCAUUGCCCUUUCUCACGUCGAGAGUUGGUGCAAACUUCGCCGGUGCAUCCAAACCCCGUGAUAUGAUACGCUCUAUCACACAUAAGCCUCCUUAUAUCUUCCUCAAAACAGCCACCAUACCUACCUAUCAUGGCAUUUCCAUAGCCAUUCCGAGAUAUAUUGCCAUGCAACUUUCCACUGUUCCAUUUAUUAUGACACGCUUCAUCAUUGUCAUAUUGCCUUGCAUGAUCAUGUAGUUGACAUCGUAUUUGUGGCAAGGCCACCAUGCAUAAUUUUUCAUACAUUUCACUCUUGAUUCAUUGCCUAUCCCGGUACACCGCCGGAGGCACUCAUAUAGAGUCAUAUUUUGUUCUAGUAUCGAGUUGUAAUCCUUGAGUUGUAAAUAAAUAAAAGUGUGAUUAUCAUCAUUAUUAGAGCAUUGUCCCGUCUGAGGAAAUAAAAAAAAAGGAGAAAAGCCAAAUAAAAAAAGGAGAAAGGCCAAAAAAAGAGAGAAAGGCCAAAAAAAGAGAAGGCCCAAAAAAAUGAGAGAAAAAGAGAGAAGGGGCAAUGUUACUAUCCUUUUUCCACACUUGUGCUUCAAAGUAGCACCAUGAUCUUCAUGAUAGGGAGUCUCUUAUUUUGCCACUUUCAUAUACUAGUGGGAAUUUUCAUUAUAGAACUUGGCUUGUAUAUUCCAACAAUGGGCUUCCUCAAAUGCCCUAGGUCUUCGUGAGCAAGCAAGUUGGAUGCACACCCACUUAGUUUCUUUUGUUGAGCUUUCAUACAUUUAUAGCUCUAAUGCAUCUGUUGCAUGGCAAUCCCUGCUCCUCGCAUUGACAUAAAUUGAUGGGCAUCUCCAUAGCCCGUUGAUUAGCCGCGUCAAUGUGAGACUUUCUCCUUUUUUGUCUUCCCUACACAACCUCCAUCAUCAUAUUCUAUUCCACCCAUAGUGCUAUGUCCAUGGCUCGCGCUCAUGUAUUGCGUGAAAGGUGAAAAACUUUGAUAAUACUAAAGUAUGAAACAAUUACUUGGCUUGUCAUCGGGGUUGUGCAUGAUGAGAGCAUUUUGUGUGACGAAAAUGAAACAUGGCCAAACUAUAUGAUUUUGUAGGGAUGAGCUUUCUUUGGCUAUGUUAUUUUGAGAAGACAUAAUUGCGUGGUUAGUAUGCUUGAAGUAUUAUUAUUUUUAUGUCAAUAUUAAACUUUUGUCUUGAAUCUUUGGGAUCUGAACAUUCAUGCCAUAAUAAAGAGAAUUACAUUGAAAAUUAUGUUAGGUAGCAUUCCACAUCAAAAAUUCUAUUUUUAUCAUUUACCUACUCGAGGACGAGCAGGAAUUAAGCUUGGGGAUGCUUGAUACGUCUCCAACGUAUCUAUAAUUUUUGAUUGUUCCAUGCUAUUAUAUUAUCUGUUUUGGAUGUUUAAUGGGCUUUAAUAUGCUAUUUUAUAGUAUUAUUUUUGGGACUAACCUAUUAACCGGAGGCCUAGUGCAAAUUGUUGUUUUUUGCCUAUUUCAGUGUUUCGCAGAAAAGGAAUAUCAAACGGAAUCCAAACGGAACGAAACCUUCGCGAGGAUCUUUCUUGGAACAAACGCAAUCCAGUAGACUUGGAGUGGAAGUCAGAGACGCAACAAGGCGUCCACGAGGCAGGAGGGCGCGCCCCCACCCUCGUGGGCCCCUUGUAGAUCCACCGACCUACUUCUUUUGCCUAUAUAUACUCUUAUACCCUAAAAACAUCCAGGAGAGCCACGAAACCACUUUUCCACCGCCGCAACCUUCUGUACCCAUGAGAUCGCAUCUUGGGGCCUUUUUCGGUGAUCUGCCGGCAUUCGAUCACGGAGGGCUUCUACAUCAACACCAUAGCCUCUCCGAUGAUGUGUGAGUAGUUUACCACAGACCUUCGGGUCCAUAAUUAUUAGCUAGAUGGCUUCUUCUCUCUCUUUGGUUCUCAAUACAAAGUUCUCCUCGAUGUUCUUGGAGAUCUAUUCGAUGUAAUACUCUUUUGCGAUGUGUUUGCCGAGAUCCGAUGAAUUGUGGGUUUAUGAACUUGAUUAUCUAUGAAUAUUAUUUGGUUCUUCUCUGAAUUCUUAUAUGCAUGAUUUGAUAUGUUUGCAAGUCUCUUCGAAUUAUCGGUUUAGUUUGGCCUACUAGAUUGAUCUUUCUUGCAAUAGGAGAAGUGCUUAGCUUUGGGUUCAAUCUUGCGGUGCUCGAUCCCAGUGACAGAAAGGGAACCGACACGUAUUGUAUUGUUGCCAUCGAGGAUAAAAAGAUAGGGUUUAUAUCAUAUUGCUUGAGUUUAUCCCUCUACAUCAUGUCAUCUUGCCUAAUGCGUUACUCCGUUCUUAUGAACUUAAUACUCUAGAUGCAUGCUGGAUAGUGGUUGAUGUGUGGAGUACGUAAUAGUAGUAGAUGCAGAAUCGUUUCGGUCUACUUGACACGGACGUGAUGCCUAUAUUCAUGAUCAUUGCCUUAGAUAUCAUCAAAACUAUGCGCUUUUCUAUCAAUUGCUCGGCAGUAAUUUGUUCACCCACCAUAAUAUAUGCUAUCAUGAGAGAAGCCACCAGUGAAAUCUAUGGCCCCCGGGUCUACUUUACAUCAUAUAAGUUUCCGAUCUAUAAUUCUAGUUUACUAUUUAUUUUGCAAUCUUUAUUUUCCAAUCUAUACAACAAAAAUACCAGAGAUAUUUAUCUUAUUAUCUUUAUCAGAUCUCACUUUUUCAAGUGGCCGUGAAGGGAUUGACAACCCCUUUAUCGCGUUGGUUGCAAGGUUCUUGAUUGUUUGUGCAGGUACUAGGCGACUUGUGUGUAGUCUCCUACUAGAUUGAUACCUUGGUUCUCAAAAACUGAGGGAAACUCUUACACUACUUUGCUGCAUCACCCUUUCCUCUUUAAGGGAAAACCAACGCAUGCUCAAGAGGUAGCACCCUACCUGGCACGCCAAAUGUCGGAUUUCGGGUUCCGAAAACCCUUGAGAGGUUCGAACUCUGGGGUGCGUGCGAAGAACUCGUCCUCCCCAGUCUGCCUACUCGCUAAUCUCAUGGCCCAGCUUGACAAACUGUAAGGGAAAGAGACACAUCAGUUUACCUAGGUUCGGGCCACCUUGCGGUGUAAAACCCUACUCCUGCUUUGUGGUGGAUUGGCCUUGAGGGGCUGAGGAUGAACUAGUACAGUGGGAGAACAACCUCAGGAGGAGGAGUGUUCUUGGGCUCGAGUGAGCUAGUGAGUGUGUGGAUGGAAUGGAUCCGAUCCGGUCUCCCCUCUUCCCAGUUUUCUAUGGCGGUGGCUAAGUCCUAUUUAUAGUGGCCCUGGUCCUCUUCCGAAAUGAAGGCGGGAAGGGAUCCCACAACAUCCAAAUUCAAAGGGAGACAACUAGUACAUGCUAUCCUGACAAAAGUAGUCUUCGCCUGCAAAAGCCUCUGGUCGUGACGCCGUGGUGGGCUCGAUGAUGACCUCCAUCGUGCCAUCCUGACGGUCUUGGUAUUAUUGCACAGGAAUGGAAACCUUUGGCUGGUUCCUCGGGACUCCGCGCCUGCGCUUGCCUCCUUAGCGCCAAAGAGGAAACCGAUACACAGCGCCCGCUGGCGCCCGCCUGGCCUUGGUCGUCAUGGCUCACGUCAUCCGAACCUCGCGAGGUGAGGCUUGCAUAGAGAUCUCCGCUCCUCAGGAGCCAGCCUGAGGAGGUGGCUCCUUGUGGAGGUCUUGGUGUCGUCUGCCUCGCAAGGGUCUUGAGUCUUGUCGCUGAAGCUGGGCCGUACCAGGCCGUUGAUGGAGCCACGCCGUGGGCCGCAGGCAGGCAAGUCUGGGUACCCAUGUUCCCAGAACGCCAACAGGUUGUUUGAGUUCAUCGCCCAUGGUGUUGUCUGAGUAACCGUCUGCAAUAGAAAACCCCAAUAGGCAGGGUAAUUAGCCUAUUAUUGAUAAUCCAUGUAGUAAUCAAAUUGACAUUUCUUAUAAAACACACCAGAUAUUUCAUAUCCAUAUAACGGCAACCAGGAUUUCAUAAUCGAAUUACAUCAGAUAGCUUCGGCACUCAGUUAUGCCAUUACACAACAGCACCAUGUUUCACAUGCAACAUCAAAAACCUUUGGAAAGUAGCAUCAUACACGGUAAAUAGACAGAUGAAUCUCAUCUGGGAAACUGCAGAAGCAGAAGGCAAAUAUUGAGCCUUCAGUGAUGUUGAAUGUCCUUGCAACUUUAGGCCAGUGGCUAUGGAUAAUUGCUCGCCCAACCUUCAUCCUCUUCAAGAAGACUUCAAUAUUGUACCAUGGGUGUUGAAUGAAUACCUUCCUCGCCUCUUGACCAUGCAGGUGGUUUGAGAGGUAAUCAUCGGUGAACUGCUUUGAAAAGUACUGAAAACAAAGAUAUGCAUAAAUCGCUGUUAUAAAUUUUGAAAUGGCACAAGGGGUAAAAACAAGGUAAAAGAGUUAGUACCAUCCAAUAGUUGACUGAUGUCUUCUUCAUUGUGCAAACAAAGAUCUUGCUAUUAUUUGUCGCAAGUUUCUUCAUCCUAACAAUAUUUUUGAGUUUCUUAACUUGACUGAUAUCCAUGGACAUCUCAUUUCCCCAUAUGCAAAAUGGGUCGAGCAGUGGGUCUAAGCCUCUGACAGUAGGACCUACAUAUGCAAGACCAAAUUGUAAGAAACCUAAAUAUUAGAAUGAUUCCUGCAAAUGCACAAUAAUGUGCUAUUAGCAAAAGGACCAUGCAUGAGCAAACCUCGAUGGUAAAGUGCAGUGUCUCCCAUUGUUUCCCUGCAACACAUAUAAGGAAGAUCUUGAUCAGGUUAACUGAGAGUUGCCAUACAUGCAUAACAAUACAAAAUUGUACCCCCAGCAAAUGAAAAUCAAAUUGCAGAAUUGAACCAAACAGUUAGAUGGACAGUAGACCAAAUGAACCAAAACAGUUAACUGAGCAUGACAUUGUAGAAUAGAAACAUGUACUAGAAGAUAAGACAGUUAACAAAACAAAGAAUGCUUGAGAACAGUACUACGAAAUGUAGCAAUUGUUGGACCAAACUGUUAACUGAACAUUACAUUUCAGAGGACCAAACUGUUAACUAAACAUCAGAUUGCAUAUUAACAUUACAGAGGACAAAUCACUAGAAGGCACUUGCGGUGGCCUCGAGAAAACAGCACGAACUGUAUUUUAAAGUAGACAACCACGUGGCGGUGUCGACGGUGGCCUCGAAGACGAGGUGCUCCUUCAAGAUCUGGUGGUCGGCACGCAUGGCAGCCAUAGCGACCUCAUGCGCCCGUGCGGCCGUGAUUUGCUUCUCCGCUGCCAGAUGCUACUGAGCUCCUCAUUAUACUGCGUGCAAAAUGGCUGUGGGCGGCACUUAAUUGGAGGACGGGGCCAGUGAUUUCGGCGGAAGGUGCCGCACCGUCGGUCGGGGCAUGUGGGACGGGGAAAGAGGAGAAUGGUGUGGGUGGGGUGUGGAUUACCUGACUAUAUCGACGAGGCCGCGCAGCAAGAAGAAGGGUCGGCGGCGAGGAGGCCGCGCAGUAAGAAGAAGGGUCGGCGGCGAGGAGGCGGCGCUGCAAGAAGAAGGGUCGGCGGCGAGGAGGCGGCGCUGCAAGAAGAAGGGUCGGCGGCGCGGAGGCGGCGCUGCAAGAAGAAGGGUUGCCGGCGAGGAGGCUGAGCUGCCAGUAAGCAGCAGUGAAGGUUUGAACUUGGAAAGCAAGGAGGAACAGCGGAAAUGUGGCUUUUGGUGGGAGGGAGGGGCGGGGGAGAUAGAUAUUUCCGCAGUGGUAGCAAAAUUUCGCUCGGUGCCGCGAGAAACCGGCGCACAAGUGCGGUCCAAGCGUGGGCAGUGGAUUGUAGACGACGAAGCUUCCUGCGUAAGCCAGACAAGAUGGUGCGCCAAGAUAUUUUAUAUCGCAUCCCACACGAUUCCUGCUAGUAAACUGUUUGUGGUAUGCCUGAUUUUUUCAUUAUGUUUUGAAAGACAAAAUGGUGUUACGGAGGGAAAGGAUGGUGUUUGAAUUGCUAGAACAUUUAUGUACAGUGAACAUGCACCUACAUGAGUGUCGUUUUUAAAUUUGGGAUUAUUCCAGGUUCGUUUGGCAUUUUUAUGCAUUAAUUGAGUUUUUAGGCAUUUAAUGUGCAUAAUUAAAAUUUGAACUACAAGCACAUGCUCCAGUGCACCAAAGUUUAUUGAAAAAUCACAUGUGUGUCUUUGGAUGAAUUAAUAGGUCCCAUGCAAGAAUGGGAAUGAAAUUCAAACAUCUGGGCGUCGUGGCUCGGCCAGGAACAUUGAGAAACAUGGUUUUUAAAUUCCUAUAAAUUCAAAACUCGCCUGAAAAUCAUGAAACUUGGCAUGGUGUCAUUUCAUGCACCAACAUACCGUGGUAAAAAAAUUGGCCGCAUUUGGACAAGUUUUGGUAUAAGCUUCUUGCAAACCGGAGCUUCUCUCGAGAAGACUCGUGGUUCCUAAGGGGGGACGUGUCACCUUUGUGUGCGAAACCAUAUACGCUGCCUCCCCCCUUGAUUUUUUACAGACGCAACAUAGAACUUUAUGAGUGUCAUUUUAAAUUUUGGAAUUAUUCCGGGUUCGUUUGGCCCUUUUUUAUACAUUAGUUGAAUUUCUGGGCAUUUAAUGUGUAUAAUUCAAAUUUGAACUACAAGCACAUGCUCUAGUGCAUGGAAGUUGGUUAAAAAAUCGCGUAUGUGUCCUUGGGUGAAUUUCUAGGUCCCAUGCAAGAAAUUAGAAUGAAAUUCAAACAUCUGGGUGUCGUGGUUCAGCCAAAGAUAUUGAGAAACUUGGUUUUUAAUUCCUGUAAAUCCAAAACACGCUUAAAAAUCAUGAAACUUGGCAUGAUGUCAUGACAUGGCACCAACAUAUUGUGGUAAAUUUUUUGGCCGAAUUGGGAAAAGCAUCGGUAUAAGCUUCUUGCAAACCGGAGCUUCUCUCAAGAAGGUUCAUGGUUCCGAGAGGGAACGUGUCACCUCCGUGUGCAAAACGACAUACACUGCCUUCUCCCGCCUUAAUUUUUUUACACAGGCGGCUUAGACCAAAUAGGAGUUUCGUGCUAAAUUUUGGAAUUAUUUCGGGUUCGUUUGGCCUUUUUUAUAUAUUAAUUGAAUUUCUGGGCAUUUAACGUGCAUAAUUCAAAUUGGAACUACAAGCACAUGCUCCAGUGCACCAAAGUUGGUUGAAAAAUCACAUGUGUGUCCUUGGGUGCAUUUCUAGGUCCCAUGCAAGAAAUGGGAAUGGAAUUCAAACAUCUGGGCAUCGUGGCUCGACCAGAAAUAUUGAGAAACUUGGUUUUUUAAUUCCUGUAAAUCCAAAACACGCCUGAAUAUCAUGAAAUUUGGCAUGGUGUCAUGACAUGGCACCAACAUGCUAUGGUAAAUUUUUUGGCCGUAUUGUGACAAGCUUUGGUAUAAGCUUCUUGCAAACUGGAGCAUCUCUCAAGAAGGCUCGUGGUUCCGAGAGGGAACGUGUCACCUCCGUGUGCGAAACGACAUACACUGCCUUCUCCCACCUUAAUUUUUUUACACAUGCAGCUUAGACCAAAUAAGAGUUUCGCUAAAUUUUGGAAUUAUUCCGGGUUCGUUUGGCCUUUUUAUAUAUUAAUUGAAUUUCUGGGCAUUUAAUGUGCAUAAUUCAAAUUUGAACUACAAGCACAUGCUCCAGUGCACCAAAGUUGUUUGAAAAAUCACAUGUGUGUCCUUGGGUGAAUUUCUAGGUCUCAUGCAAGAAAUGGGAAUGGAAUUCAAACAUCUGGGCGUCGUGGCUCGACCGGAAAUAUUGAGAAACUUGGUUUUUUAAUUCCUGUAAAUCUAAAACACACCUGAAAAUCAUGAAAUUUGGCAUGGUGUCAUGACAUUGCACCAACAUGCUGUGGUAAAUUUUUUGGCCGUAUUGUGACAAGCUUUGGUAUAAGCUUCUUGCAAACCGGAGCUUCCCUCAAGAAGGCUCAUGGUUCCGAGAGGGAACGUGUCACCUCUGUGUGCGAAACGACAUACAUUUCCUUCUCCCGCCUUAAUAUUUUUACACAGGGAACUUAGACCAAAUAGGAGUUUCGUGCUAAAUUUUGGAAUUAUUCCGGAUUCGUUUGGCCUUUUUAUACAUUAAUUGAUUUUCCAUGCAUUUAAUGCACAUAAUUCAAAUUUUAAGUACAAGCGCAUGCUCCAGUUUGCAAAAGUUAGUUGGAAAAUCAUUUAUGUGUACUUGUGCGAAUUUCUAGGUCCCAUGGAAGAAGUGGGAAUGGAAUUCAAACAUCUGGGCAUCUUGGAUCGGCUGGAAACAUCGAGAAACUUGGUUUUAAAAUUCCCGUAAAUCCAAAACUCGCCUGAAAAUCAUGAAACUUGGCAUGGUGUCAUGACAUGGCACCAACAUGUUGUGGUAAAUUUUUUGUCUGAUUUGCGAAGGCGCACACAUUAACAAUCAACAAAGUCAUUUUGGAACAAGUGUUGUCAUGUUACAAAUCGGAAACACAAGUAUUAUUAAAAUCGUGGGCGUUCUACUUACCAUUUACGUGCCGCCACGCGUCCCCUUUUUUUAUUGGCUAGGAGGUAUCGUGUGGGGUAGCUAUCUGAGUACGGGAGGCGGGUGAUCAGACCCCUGUGCGUGCUGUCUGGGAGGAGAGCCCUUUGACCUCUAUCCGCCGCCCACCUCCCUCCCAACGUCUCCAUUAAUGGCGCACGAGCCCCUGUUUCAUGGCAUGGCUAUGUCUCACUCGACUGAGAUUUAAGAGAGAAAAAAGAAAAUCUGAAAAUAAAGUUGCAAGGAUCUUGAUGUAAGAUCCGACGGACCUAUAUAGCAUCGACUGCGACUUAUAGCAAGACUGAUGAAUAUAAGGACGAUGACAGUGGAUAAUAAUUGUCUUGCAUAUUUAGGAAGAUAAUUAAAAAGCCACAUGCGGCAACGUCCGACACAAGGGCAAAAGAAGAAGGAAGACAACGAUCUGGCUCGUUGAUAUCUACUUUCUUGAUGCGUUGUUGCAGGCUGCGGGAACUAGUCUCCACGGCGAGCGGCGAUGAGCUCUUUCAUGUCCUUAAGACGCUGCUUGAGAGCAUCCACGGAUUCCUCCACCAGCCUUUGGCGCUCGAUGCGGAGCAUGGAAUUCUCGUCCAUAAGUUUCUUGACAAUGACGCCGGUCCUCUUCAACAAGGCAGUGGUCUCCUCCUCUACUCUGCACUUCCGACGGUCUUCACCCUCAGCAGGUCGCGCUUGAUCCAUAGCUUCGCAUUGCCCUCCCUUAGUUGCCAUAUGAUGUCGGUAGCCUAUUCAAACGAGGCUUUCAUGUCAUCCUGCAACCUCGUCCAGCCAGAGAUCUGAUCCAUCUGGCUAUGGACGAUCGCAUGCAUGCGUCUGUAAGAGUCCUCACCUGCCAGUGAGACAUUUUCCCAGACCGCCGCGGUGCGGGAGGACAUCUCUGCUGCAUUUGCGGCGCGGCGGGACAUCUCUGCUGCUUCCGCGGUGCGGCCGGACCAGUCUGCUACAUCUACGAUGCGGCAGGACCUUCGUGCUGCUUCGGCGGCGCGGCGGGACCUCUGUAAUGCUAUGGCCGCGCGGCGGGACAUGUCGACUGCUUUCGUGGCGAGGUGGGACAUCCCUCGUGCUUCCGCUUCCAUGCUCGCCUCUUCCUAGUAGUAAUCUCUCGACCCAGAACUCAUGCGGGCCAUGGGAGACGGCAGACACAAGGGAACGACGAUGAAUGACUUCUUUGUUUUUGUAGAUCAGGAGUUGAGGAGGAAUGUGCAGUCAUCUUGGAGUAGGUAGUAUUUAUAACCGAGUACUAAUACGCUCCUAAGUGGGAAACCGUUUAGGUUUUGAUCGGUGUGAACAGGUUUUGAUCAGCGUGAAUAGUAAUUGUGAAUGUGAAGGGAAGCAAGUUCAAAAUUUAUUGACGGUUCAUAUUUCAAAGUGCGGUACAAUUCCCGGAAGGCGUAAAGUGGGCACACGUUCUCAGCCGCGUACAUGGCGUUUGCACCAUAGGGUGCUCCGCAAUAGGCGAUGUCAGCACACGUCUUGUUCCAACAACCGUUUGCGCUCGUUAUUACCAUUGCGCAUGUUUAUUUUAAUUAGAAUGUGUGUCUGUCUAGCGCACACACGUUGAUCUGUCUAACCGUUUCCGUUUGUUGUGGCUAAUCGCAAACAGUUCAUCCAUGUGAAGUGUAUGACGUCAAUCGCAGACACCUUGAUCUGGGUGACCGUUUCUGUUGUGUUGCCUAAUCGCAAACAGUUCAUCCAUCUGAAGUGUAUGUCGUCAAUCACAGACACCUUGAUCUGGCUAACCAUUCCUGUUGUGCUACCUAAUCACAAACAGUUAAUCUGAGUGAACUGUAUGUCGUAUAUCGCACACCCCUUCAUCUUGCUGCCCGUUUAUGUUCUUCUGUCUCAUCGCAAAUAGUUCAUUGAUCUGAAUCGUAUGCCCCGCAUCGCACACACAACUAAAAACCGAACCGUGUUUGAUGUAUCCACCAUCGUAAACGUUUUUGCAUAUUUUUUGACGGUUUUUUACAUCACCGUUUGCGAUUAAUGCAUCGCAGAUAAUUUUGCCAAAGGGUCUCUGAUCGUAGUGUCGCAUUAGCAGCAUACUGUAGUAGUGAGCAUGGAACAAUAAAAAAUUAUAGCUUCCUUGGAGACGUAGCAGCAUCCCCAAGCUUAAUUCCUGCUCGCCCUCGAGUAGGUAAAUGAUAAAAACAUAUUUUUUUAUGUGGAAUAUUGCCUAACAUGUUCAUCACAUAUUCUUUUCUUUUGUAGCAUGGACAUUUGGACUUUUAGAUGGUUCAAAGCAAUAGUCUAUAUUUGACAUGAAGACUUCAAUACUCAAACAUAUCAACAAGCAACCAUGUCUUUCAAAAUAUCAACACUAAAGAAAGUUAUCCCUAGCCCAUCAUGCUCAAUCAAUGAUCCAUUCAUGAAACACACUCGAAUAUUAGCUACAUCCAAUGCACAAGUAUGAUCAUAGUGCUCCAUGGUUGGUGCUUUAUAAGAGGAGAUGGACACUCAAAUAAAAAAUAAAAAUUGCACAAAAGUAAAUAGAUAGGCCCUUUGCAGAGGGAAGCAAAGAUUUUUAGAGGUGCCAGAGCUCAUAGCUUAAAUUGAGAGAUAAAAUAUUUUGAGAGGCAUGCUUUUCCCGUCAACGAAAAUGACUGAGUAAUUCCCAAUACUUUCCAUGCUAGAUACAUCAUAGGUGGUUCCCAAACAUAAAAUAAAGUAUAUUCCUUUUUCCACCAUUCUUUCACAAUCCAUGGCUAGCCGUAUCCACGGGUGCCUUCCAUACCAACACUUUCCAAGGAAUUUAUUAUUUGACAACAUAAAGUAAAUUUCUUUUUCAUUUCGGGAUUGGGCAUCCCUAUUAUCGCCACACUCUCGUGCAAUGACAAGUGAAUAAACACUCAUCUUGAGAAUAACACAUCUAGCAUGAAAAACUAUUGGCCACCCCCUGCAGCUUCAUGAGCAGUACGGGCACGGAAAUUCAUUUUGAAAAUUAUAGUUGGCACAUACAAAUUUACUUAGAACGUCACAGAAAUACCGCAUAUAGGUAGGUAUGGUGGACUCAUAUGGCACAACUGGGUUUAAGGAUUUUGGAUGCACAAGUAGUAUUCUCACUUAGUGCAAGGAAAGGCUAGCAAAUAGAUUGAGAAGGAACCAAGCAAGAAACAAAAAUUCUCAUAAACAAGCACUAAGCAUAACUAACACCGAAUAAUGCACCACCAGUAGUAUGUAAUUUCAUUGCAUAACUAUUGACUUUCGUGCUUGCAUAGGGAAUCACAAACCUUAACACCAAUAUUCUCUAAAGCAUAAUUACUCACCAACAUGUCUCGCAUAUUACUAUCAUCAUAUCUCAAAACAAUUACAAAGAAUCAAGUUUAUAAUGUCCAAUGAUCUUCAUGAAAGCUUUUAUUAUAUCCCUCUUGAAUAUCUAUCACUUUGGGACUAAUUUCAUAUAUUACCAUUGCUUCUAACAAGCUCUAAAACAAAUUUAAGUGAAGAACAUGAGCAUAAAAAAUUUCAUCUCUCAAAAUAAUAUAAGUGAAGCAUGAGAGAAUUUCUUCAAAAAUUAAAGCACCAGCGUGCUAAAAAAUAUAUAAGUGAAGCACUAGAGCGAUUCCAUAGCUCAAAAUUUAAGUGAAGCAUAUAGAGCAAUUCUAACAAAUCAUAGCAUCAUUAUGGCUUUCUCAAAUAGGUGUGUCCAGCAAGGAUGAUUGCGACAAACUAAAAAUCAAAACAAGCAAAGACUCAUAUAAUACAAGACGCUCCAAGCAAAACUCAUGAUAUGCGAUGAAUAAAAAUAUAGAUCCAAGUAAAAUUACCGAUGGUUGUUAGAAGAAACAGGGGAUGCCUUCCGGGCCAUCCCCAAGCUUAGUUGCAUGGUUCUCCUUGAAUACUAUCUUGGGGUUCCAUGGGCAUCCCCAAGAUUAAGCUCUUUUCACUCCUUAUUCCUUCAUCCAUCGUGAUCUCACCCAAAACUUGAAAACUUCAAUCACACAAAAUUUAACAAAACCUUCGUGAGAUCCAUUAGUAUAGUAAAGCAAAUCACCACUUUACGUACUAUUGCGAACCUAUUCAUAUUUUAUUAUUGCAUUAUACCUACUUUAUUCUAACUUUACCAUUGAUUAUACCCCCCAUACAAUCCAUAGAUUCAUCAAAAUAAGCACACAAUGCAACAAAAACAAAACAUGUAAAAAACAUAAUAGUAUGUAGUAAUCUGGACUUUGACCAUACUUCUGUAACUCCAAAAAUUCUGAAAAUUUAGGAAACUUGUAUAUCAAUCUUGGUUAAAAGAUCAUAAUUAUAUCACGAUUCUGUGAUUUUUAACAAUUCUGCUACUGGGUGCAAAAGUUUUUGUUUUUCAACAAGAUCAAAUCAACUAUCACCCAACAUGAUCCCAAAGGCUUUACUUGGCACAAACACUAAUUAAAACAUAAAAGAACAAUCAUAAAAGUAACAUAAUUGUGUGAACACACAAAAACAGAAAGAGAAAGACAAAAAAAUAUUUUAUUCAUUGGGUUGCCUCCCAACAAGCACUAUCGUUUUACACCUCUAGCUAGGCAUAAUGCCUAGAUUCAAGUAUUGUCAUCUUUGGUUUUCUUUUCCUUACAUGUGGUUUUGCCAAGAGGUUUUCCAAAAAUAACUUGAAACACAUUGUCCAUAGAAAUUUUAGCAUUAUCAAGUUGUACAUCUUUGUAUCCCCUUUGAUUCCCGGCUACAAUCCAAGAAUAUUGUUGAUGAAGAUCAUUGAAAACUUGUUGGCUCACAUCCAAAACAGGAAUUUCCUUUUUAAGGUCCUCAUCAAAAAAUUGAUUAUUACCAAGCAAAUGUCUAAAAACAUAAUCACUAUUGUAAAUGAUCUCAUCUAUUACCGGUUUUUCACGGUUCAUACCAUAAAAAUCAAAGAUCUCUCUAGAUUCUCGUACUAUGUGAUCAAAUUCAUUCAUAAGAACAAGGGUGGCUAUCUUUUUAGCUUUCGGAUCCUUUAUAACGGGUAGGUCAUAAAACAAUCUUUGCAAGGUAGGAUGAGUAUGGAUAAAUCUAUUCUCAAGUUUCAGAACUAAUGCUGAAAUAGCUUCCGCAUAAGUUUUAGUUCUUUUAAGUAUAGGAGCAUCAUCACAAGUCAAAGUUCCAACACAAUUAAAGAAUUCUUGGAUCAUUUAUUUUCCUAUAAAAUUCCCUUGUCCCAAAAGAAAAGUUUUAGCAUCCAGAUUGCCAUAACGUCAAAAAUUUAGGUGUUCUGCCAUCAUCCAUUCCUGCCAUACCAAAGUCACUCAUGAUGAUAGUUUUGAGCAAACAAAAGAACGAACGAGAAAAAGGCGAAUAAGAAGAAGGCAAAUAUUUUUGUGCUUUUCGCAAAAAAACGUUUUAGAAGUGGGGGAUAUGAAAAUGAGAGGAAAAUGGCAAAUAAUGUAAACUACGAGGAGAUGUGAUUUGUGAUUAGGAACCUAAUAGAUGUUGAUGAUGUCUCCCCGGCAACGGCGCCAGAAAUUCUUCUUGAUUGCUUGUAUCUACGUUAGUAUUUACCCGAAGAGGAGAGGAUGAUGCAAUACAGCAACGGUAAGUAUUCCCCUUAGUUAUGAAACCAAGGUUAUCAAUCCAGUAGGAGAAUCAAGCAACACUACGUAAACGGUACAUGCAGACAAAUACCAAAUACUUGCAAUCCAACGCAUAAGAAGGUUGUCAAUCCCUCCUCGGUUUUGAGAUAGAUUAAAUUGUAUGAGAUUGGAUAAAUAGAUCUAGCGAAAACACAAAAUAAAAUAAAGAAAUAAAAAGUGCAGCAAGGUAUUUUUGGGUUUUUGGAAUAAUAAAUCUGAAAAUAAUAUGAUAGAAAAUAGACCCCGGGGCCGUAGAUUUCACUAGUGGCUUCUCUCGAGCAAAUAGCAUACGGUGGGUAAACAAAUUAUUGUUGGGCAAUUGAUAGAAGAGAAAAUAAUUAUGACGAUAUCCAAGGCAAUGAUCAUGUAUAUAGGCAUCACGUCCAAGAUUAGUAGACCGAAACGAUUCUGCAUCUACUACUAUUACUCCACACAUCGACCGCUAUCCAGCAUGCAUCUAGUGUAUUAAGUUCAUGAAUAAACAGAGUAAUGCACUAAGAACGAUGACAUGAUGUUGACAAGAUCUAUUCAUGUAGGAAUUAGACCCCAUAUUUUUAUCCUUAAUAGGAAUGAUACAUGUGUGUCAUGUCUCCUUCUGUCACUGAGAUUGAGCACCACAAGAUCGAACCCAUCACAAAGCACCGCUUCCCAUGGCAAGAAAAAUCAAUCUAGUUGGCGAAACCAAACCAAAGUUUCGGAGAAGAAAUACGAGGCUAUAAUAAUCAUGCAUAUAAGAGAUCAAAGAAGACUCAAAUAAUAUUCAUAGAUAGAACUAAUCAUAAACUCGCAAUUCAUCGGAUCCCAACAAACACACCACAAAACGUCAUUACAUCAAAUAGAUCUCCAAGAACAUCGAGGAGAACAUUGUAUUGAGAAUCAAAAAGAGAGAAGAAGCCAUCUAGCUACUGCCUACAGACCCGUAGGUCUGUGGUAAACUACUCACGCAUCAUCGGAUGAGCACCAAUGAGGAUGAUGAACCCCUCAGUGAUCGUGUUCCCCUCCGGCAAGGCGUCGGAAAAGGGCUCUAGAUUGGAUCUCGUGGUUCUGGAACUUACGCCGGCUGGAAUUGUGUUUAGUCGACUCCCCUAGGGUAUCUGGAAUAUUUGGUAGAGCUGAGAGGCGGUGGAAAGGACUCCCGUGGGCCCCACCACCCACCUAGGCGCGCUAGGGGCCUCUAGCGCGCCUUGGUGGGUUGUGGGCCCCACGAGCCUCCCCUCUGGCACUUCCUUGGCUCCCAAGUUGUCUUCUGGGCAGAAAAAAAUCUCCAGAAAGUUUUGUGGCAUUUGGACUUCGUUUGGUACUGGUAUUCCGCGAAGUAAAAAACAAGCAAAAAACAGCAACUGGCACUGGGCACUAUGUCAAUAGCUUAGUCCCAAAAAUGAUAUAAAGUUGCUAUAAAAUGAAUGAAAAACAUCCAAGAAUGAUAAUAUAACAGUAUGGAACAAUAAAAAAUUAUGGAUACGUUGGAGAUGUAUCAUUAUGCUACAUCGUGGACAGAUGCCUCAUGAGUCCACGUCAGAAAAACAACCUAUGUGGAAGCAAGAGAGAAAAAAGCUACUGAUAUCAUAGGGAAGCGGGCUCUUGUAGAAGAGGCGGCUUCCUCAUCCAAAAGCAGAGGGAGAGCUAUGAUGCAAGUGUGAAGGCCCAUUUGAGAAAGUAAUAGAGAGAAUCUAGAAUAAAAAUGAAGUGUGGUCCGGUGAUUGCAUCAUUGGAAGCUCGGGCAGCACAAAGGGGUAGCCUCCAUAAAUCAUGCCCUGAUAGAUUGACUGAUGCCUUGUCUUUCUUGCUUAGGUGGAAUAGCUGGGGUAGUAGCAUGGUGACGCCUCCUUAGUACGUGCCCUCAAAGCCAACUUACUGAAAUAUGAAUCCUUCACCUACAUGAUCAAAUCCCAACUUUAAGAAAGAACCGAGUAUUUAACUUAAAACUACCACUAUUGGGGUUUUGAUCCCGCCAAACUACCACUUUCAAAUUGUCAACAAAAAAAAUACUAGUUGAAUCUUAUUUUUUCACUAACAACUACCACUUCCGAAUAGUGGCCAGUUUAGACAAUUUAAACAUGUUUAUGAAAGGCGGGACCCAUCUAUUAGGGAUGACGUGGCAUGAAAGUCAAUUCUGUUUAUUUUGACCAUUGAGUUGACUUUUAUGAUAGGUGGACCCACACGUCAGCAUCAACCUUCUUCUUCCCUCUCUCUGUCUCUGCGUUGGUAAUUCCCCAAAGAGGAGAGGAUGAUGCAGCACAGCAACGGUAAGUAUUUCCCUCAGUUAUGAAACCAAGAUUAUCAAUCCAAUAGGAGAACAAAGCAACACUAUGUAAACAACACCUGCACACAAACCACAAAAACUUGCAACCCAAUGCGUAAGAGGGGUUGUCAAUCCCUCCUCGGCAUUGAGAUAGAUUAAAUUGUAUGAGAUUGGAUAAAUAGAUCUAACAAAAACACACAUAAAUAAAGAAUAAGUGCAGCAAGGUAUUUUUAGAAUUUUGGAGUAAUAGAUCUGAAAACAAUAUGAUAGGAAAUAGACACGGGGGCCAUAGAUUUCACUAGAGGCUUCUAUCAAGAAAAUAGCAUGCGGUGGGUAAACAAAUUACUGUUGGGCAAUUGAUAAAAAAGCAAAUAAUCACGAUGAAAUCCAAGGCAAUGAACAUGUAUAUAGGCAUCACGUCCAAGAUUAGUAGACCGACUCCUUCCUGCAUCUACUACUAUUACUCAACACAUCGACUGCUAUCCAGCAUGCAUCUAGUGUAUUAAGUUCAUGGAAAACGGAGUAAUGCAAUAAGAACGAUGACAUGAUGUAGAUAAGAUCUAUUCAUGUAGGAAUUGACCCCAUCAUUUUAUCCUUAAUGGCAAUGAUACAUGCGUGUCAUGUCUCCUUCUGUCACUGAGACUGAGCACCGCAAGAUCGAACCCAUCACAAAGCACCUCUUCCCAUGGCAAGAAAAAUCAAUCUAGUUGGCGAAACCAAACCAAAGUUUUGGAGAAGAAAUACGAGGCUAUAACAAUCAUGCAUAAGAGAGUUCAAAAAAGACUCAAAUAAUAUUCAUGGAUAGAACUAAUCAUAAACUCACAAUUCAUCGUAUCCCAACAAACACACAGCAAAAAGUCAUUACAUCAAAUAGAUCUCUAAGAACAUCGAGAAGAACAUUGUAUUUAAUAUCAAAAAGAGAGAAGAAACCAUCUACCUACUGCCUACGGACCCGUAGGUCUGUGAUGAACUACUCAAGCAUCAUUGGAGGGGCAAGGGUGAUGAUGAAGAACCCCUCUGUGAUCGUUGACCCCUCCGACAGAGUGCCGGAGAAGGCCUCUAGAUUGGGUCUCGUGGUUAUGGAAUUUGCGGUGGCUGGAAAUGUGUUUCGACGACUCCCCUAGGGUUUCUGGAAUAUUAGAGUAUUUAUAGAGCUGAGAGGCAGUGGAGGGGGUGCCUGUGGGCCCCACUACCCACUAGGGUGCGCCUGGGGGCCCUAGAGCGCCCUGGUGCCUAGUGGGCCCCAUAGGGCCCCUCUGGUGCACAUCUUGGGCCUCAUGGGUGUCUUCUGGGCAGAAAAAAAAUCUCCAAAAAGUUUCGCUGCAUUUGGACUUUGUUUGAUAUGGAUAUUCUGCGAAGUAAAAAACAAGCAGAAAAACAGCAACUGGCACUGGGCACUAUGUCAAUAGUUUAGUCCCAAAAAAUGAUAUAAAGUUGCUAGUAAAUGAAUAUAAAACAUUAAAGAAUGAUACUUUAAUAGCAUGGAACAAUCAAAAAUUAUAAAUAUGUUGGAGACGUAUUAGGGUGAAUAGGGAGGCGUCCUCUCAUGAAUAAUACCAUGUUUCGCACAGAAUAAAUCGAACUCAUUAUAAAAGUACUCUCCACCAUGAUCAGACCGGACUCGUUUUAUUUUCUUCUCAAGUUGGUUCUCAACUUCAUCCUUAUAGAUUUUAAAGUAGUGUAGAGCCUCAUCCUCUGUAUUUAACAAAUACACAUAACAGAAUCUAGUGGAAUCAUCAAUCAAAGUCAUGAAGUAUUUAUUUCCACUUUUAGUCAACACACCAUUUAUCUCACAGAGAUUUGAAUGUAUGAGUUGUAGUGGUGCAAGGUGUCUCUCCUUCGCAGGCUUGUGAGGCUUAUGAGGUUGCAUUGCUUGCACACACGCAAGGCACUUAGAGCCUUUGGCUAAGGAGAAACUCUGGAUUAAAUCCAUCUUAGCCAGUCGCGUCAUACAACCAAAAUUUAUAUGACAAAGACGUAAAUGCCAAACCUCGGAUUUGUUCACAUUAGAAUGAAUUUGGUUCACGACUUUAUUACAGAAAUCCUUCGGGGAAAGGCGGAACAAACCACCACAUAAUAUCCUUUUCCAACAAAUAGUCCAUGCCGAGAUACGACUAGUUUGUUGGUCUCAAAUACUAACUUGAACCCUUCUUUACAUAAAAGGGAGCCACUAACGAGAUUCUUCUUGAUGGCGGGGACAUGCUGCACGUUCUUCAGUUGCACAAUCUUUCCUGAAGUAAACUUCAGAUCUACCGUGCCAACACUAUGAACAGAAGCAUGCGAGCCAUUCCCCGUCAGGAUGAAACAAUCUCGUGCGAUCUGGUAAGAAGAAAACAAAGACACAUUAGUACACACAUGAAUAUUGGCCCCAAUGUUAACCCACCAAUCGGUGGACUGACAAACUGAAAGUACGGUAAACGGAUUACCAUACCCAGAUGACCCAUCAUUGUUGCUCAGAGCAACAUUGAAAAACUUGGGGUCUUGUCCUGGCUUCUUGUACUUGUUUGGGCACUUGUUUUCCCAGUGUUCCUCUGAACCAAAAGUAAAGCAGCCAUUUCUCUUUUUGUCUUUCUUCUUACCCUUCUUUUUGAAGGUAGUAUUCUACUGGACAAAGUUCUUUCCCAUAAACUUGUGGGAAUUCUUUUGCACCACAUUGGUGCUAGAAGAACCCUCUGCCCCUUUCACGUGUGAGUCCUUUGCUCUCAAGUUCUGCUCAACACUUACAUGACCGAUGACAUCGUCAAUAGAGAAUUCACGUCCCAAGUGCUUGAGAGAAGUAGCAAAGUUCCUCCAUCCAGGAGGGAGUUUUGCAAUAAUGCAACCCGCGACAAACUUGUCUGGUAACUCACACUUCAGGAGCUCCAGCUCCUUACCGAUGCAUUGUAUCUCAUGGGCCUGAUCCAAUACAGAACGAUUAUCAACCAUUUUGUAAUCAUGGAACUGCUUAAUAGCAUACAAGUCGCUUCCAGCAUCGGUUGUGAUGUAUUUAGCUUUGAUCGCAUCCCACAAAUUAUUGGCAACGCGCAUAUGGAGAUAUGCGUCAACCAGCCUGUCUCCGAUCACAGUAAGAACGGCUUCGACAAAGAUGGUGGUUGCCUCCCUAACUGCAUUCUCCUAUUUAGGAGCAAUCUUUAUAGUGGGAGACACACCACCAACCUAGAACACGUUCAUCGUUGUGAGCCACAAGGUGGUCCUAGUCUACCAACGCUUAAAAUGCGUCCCGGUAAACUUUUCCGGUUUCAGAGCGACGAAGCCAUGAGUCGAAAAGUGCCUAAAAUAAUGUUUUUGGAUUGUUGGAAAUAUUAGCACUUUUCCGACUAAUCUAAUCCACGAGUAAGCAGUAAACAUGGCAAAUACGGUAUGCAUCUCAUACCGAUACAUAAGCAUGUGAGCACGUACAGUACAUAGAACUGAAACAUCUAUGAAUAGCAUAUAUAUGGCUAGCACAUGUAUGAGUAAACGAGGGAUGAAAAGAGCAUACCCUCCGGUUGGCCAGGCCAAUGCUGCGGCGGUAGCAGCAGCCUCGACGUCGUCCGUGGCAUUCUUCUUGGCGGCGGCGUCUUCGACCACGAUGUAGGGGAAGUAGUAGAAGCAAAGGCAAACGGAGACGGGGACGGAUCGGGAGCAGUUGCGUCGAGACGCUCCCCAAAAACCUUAUUGAUGUUCUCCAGGGCAGGAUCUCGAACGGCAGGGUUCCGGAGGCACCUACUCUCCCGACCAACCGUGCACGCGGUCGUCGGGGAUCGCCGGAAGCAGCACAGAGAGAGGAAUAGUAGAUGAUGGCUAGGGUUGUGCGAGAGGGAGUGAGUGAACUGAGUUAAUUAGGGUUCACUCCACUGGCCAGCGCCUUCUUAUAUAGUCCGUCGGGUAGAUGGGCCUGGGCUCAGGCCCACGACCGAGUCCACGAACAGCCCACAGUCCAACGUCUCGGACAAUGCACUUCCGUAAGCGACUCAUUAAUUAAUCUGAGAUUAAUUGACCAUUCCUGACCGGAAAAAAUAAGCUUUGGCUCGGCUCCCCGUAACCCGCCGCGUGAUGGGGCAUGGCGAGGCGGGUGGUGGAGGAGAAGGAGCGUGUGUGUACAUCUCCUACUCCCAAGCUCCCAAUAGCAAGUGCCAGAGCAGCCCUUAUAAAGAGGUCUCGCUCUUCUUAUUGUAGCAAUAUGGUACUAACUUCCCACCAAACUUCCCACCACUUGUCGUGCACAUUCAUGGGCCUUACAUAUUAACUAGGGAUUAUUGUCUUAUAUGGACCUAUGCCCAUCCAUAAUCCAUCAACAUAGACUACCAGGUCGAUUUGUCUAGCAUCUCUGGAGCAUCUAAGCUGGAGGUGGAGGACGAUGCCCAAACACCCUUGCACAGACUCCACGUAGGCCUACCCAACCUAAGCCUUCAAGAUGAUUAUGUUGUUUACUACCUUGCCAAGAUCGACUACCGGGACAGCGAGCGCGGGCUGUGGGGCAUGGGUGUUGGCUGUUGACUUCAGGAACAACACCAUACAGGAAGUGACGGAGUAUAAUGCCAUUGACACGGGCGGUUUGAUUCUCAGCUAUGGUGCAAGUAGGAUCUCCAAAUAUCUCAAAGAUGCCCAAGCUACUUGAUCAUGCUUUGCUGGUGCCUAACUGCUAUUGCUUUCAAAGAUCUUUCGCUCCUGUCACGCGUUCUUUCCUCCUCCACAAGAAAAGAUCACAUGCUCUCCUUCUCCUCCUGUCGGUGUCGUCGCCGGUCUGCCCCAUCUUCGACGGCCUUCGGGCCAUGGAGAUGCAAAGGACCUGGGCCCCUUCACCGCCAGGCAGGAAGAACCCCGCUCUCGUUCUUGCUAGGUUUAACGUCUUGGUUGGGGUUGUGCGGCGGCGGCGAUGUCCCUCAAUAGAAAUAAUGUCUCCCAUGUUCAAUCUCUAUCCCGAUGGUGCGUCUAGCAACGUCGGAGUGUGUGUGGAGGCGUGCCUCCGUUGGAUCUCGCGGAAUACGGUCUGUGUUGGUCAUCGGUGGAUCUAUUUAGAUCUGGUCUUCAUUUGGGUGUAUUGGUUUGAUCCUUUCGAUCUACGACUCUCUUUAAUAGCCAUGGUUGCUGCUCUGGUGCGUUGAUCCUGUGGCGUCUUACCACGAUGACUUUUCGACUGCCUAAUACAACAAGACCUGCCUAGCUCCAAUGAUGAAGGGACGAUGGCCGUUGCAUGCCCUUCGGCUUGUAGUCAUCACUAUAUGGUCCGUAAACCUGGUUGUAAUUAUUGUUAUCUUUGAAGCUCUUUUUAGUGCCAUGAUUGGUUAUGAAUAAAUCAGAAGUUUCUCCCGCAAAAAAGAAAAAAAACUCCGUUACACAAUUGGAAGUUUGCAUCCCUGGUGUUGUUGUUUUGCAUGGCAAUACGUAUCUAAUUUGUAUCCUAAAGAUCAUAGUAUUGUUGGAAAUAUGCCCUAGAGGCAAUAAUAAAUGGUUAUUAUUAUAUUUCUUUGUUCAUGAUAAUAGUCUAUUAUUCAUGCUAUAAUUGUAUUGUCCGGAAAUCGUAAUACAUGUGUGAAUACAUAGACCACAACGUGUCCCUAGUAAGCCUCUAGUUGACUAGCUCGUUGAUCAACAGAUAGUCAUGGUUUCCUGACUAUGGACAUUGGAUGUCAUUGAUAACGGGAUCACAUCAUUAGGAGAAUGAUGUGAUGGGCAAGACCCAAUCCUAAGCAUAGCAUAAAAGAUCGUGUAGUUUCGUUUACUAGAGCUUUUCCAAUGUCAAGUAUCUUUUCCUUAGACCAUGAGAUCGUGCAACUCCCGGAUACCGUAGGAGUGCUUUGGGUGUGCCAAACGUCACAACGUAACUGGGUGACUAUAAAGGUGCACUACGGGUAUCUCCGAAAGUGUCUGUUGGGUUGGCACGGAUCGAGACUGGGAUUUGUCACUCCGUGUGACGGAGAGGUAUCUCUGGGCCCACUCGGUAAUGCAUCAUCAUAAUGAGCUCAAUGCGACUAAGGCGUUAGUCACGGGAUCAUGCAUUACGGUACGAGUAAAGAGACUUGCCAGUAACGAGAUUGAACAAGGUAUUGGGAUACCGACGAUCGAAUCUCGGGCAAGUAACAUACCGAUUGACAAAGGGAAUUGCAUACGGGAUUGAUUGAAUCCUCGACACCGUGGUUCAUCCGAUGAGAUCAUCGUGGAACAUGUGGGAGCCAACAUGGGUAUCCAGAUCCCGCUGUUGGUUAUUGACCGGAGAGGCGUCUCGGUCAUGUCUGCAUGUCUCCCGAACCCGUAGGGUCUACACACUUAAGGUUCGGUGACGCUAGGGUUGUAGAGAUAUAUGUAUGCGGAAACCCAAAAGUUGUUCGGAGUCCCGGAUGAGAUCCCGGACGUCACGAGAGGUUCCGGAAUGGUCCGGAGGUGAAGAAUUAUAUAUAGGAAGUCCAGUUUCGGCCACCGGGAAAGUUUCGGGGGUUACCGGUAUUGUACCGGGACCACCGGAAGGGUCCCGGGGGUCCACCGGGUGGGGCCACCUAUCCCGAAGGGCCCCGUGGGCUGAAAGUGGAAGGGAACCAGCCCUUAGUGGGCUGGGGCGCCCCCCUUGGGCCUCCCCCCAUGCGCCUAGGGUUGGGAACCCUAGGGGGGAGCUUCCCCCUUGCCUUGGGGGGCAAGGCACCCCUUCCCCCCUUGGCCGCCCCCCCCCCCUUGGAGAUCCCAUCUCCCAGGGCCGGCGGACCCCCCAGGGGCCUAUAUAAAGGGGGGAGGGAGGGCAGCAACCUACAGCCUUGGGCGCCUCCCUCCUCCCCUGCAACACCUAUCUCUCUCUCGCAGAAGCUCGGCGAAGCCCUGCCGGAGACCCGCUACAUCCACCACCACGCCGUCGUGCUGUUGGAUCUCCAUCAACCUCUCCUCCCCCCUUGCUGGAUCAAGAAGGAGGAGACGUCGCUGCACCGUACGUGUGUUGAACGCGGAGGUGCCGUCCGUUCGGCACUCGGUCAUCGGUGAUUUGGAUCACGGCGAGUACGACUCCGUCAUCCACGUUCAUUGGAACGCUUCCGCUCGCGAUCUACAAGGGUAUGUAGAUGCACUCCCUUCCCCUCGUUGCUAGUAGACUCCAUAGAUGCAUCUUGGUGAGCGUAGGAAAAUUUUAAAUUAUGCUACGAUUCCCAACAAGUAUAAGGCACGUAGACAUCCAUCUGCCCAAAUUGAAAACAAUAAAGCAGACACUGAUCAAAUAAAACUGAAAAGAACAUAACCCUAGCAUCUGCACAAAGAAACACCAGCCAAGAAAGAGAAAUACAAUCAAAACCGAAGAAUCCUCUGAGCUUGACACCAACGCCCGUGACCUGUCUCCGGUGCCACCACAGCAGACACCAAAGGAAAAAUGACAGAUUGGCUCAUCACCCGAGCUCGACACGGUUCCAUUGCUGAUACGCAACUUUACGGACCUCCAAGGUGGCUUACCAAAGACAAAGUCAUUUCCAUUGAACGAAUCAGACCAGGGCAACACACUAGACAUGUUGGGUUUUACGGCAGGGUGUGCGACUGCAAAUUAAAAAUUCCUACCUGCAGAACAUCCAAGAACAUGCUACGAGAGAUGAAUCAUGGAUCCUUACCACUAGACGAGCAGUGUCGUGCAGCGGAAGUAGAGUUGGCGCAGCACGUCCGCGUGGAUCGUCUCCUUCUUGUUCAAUCUCCCUCGAACAGUCGGUCGUCGGAUUCCACGUAUUGGUUCACCGGAGUGGCGCAAGUGCACCGCCUCUAACGGUAUCCGCACGUGCAGGAGGAACACCGUGUGUUAGACUGCUAGGUCCGAUCACACAGUCAUCAGCGAGUGGAGGUGGCUACUUGCAACACAUGCAAAGCCCUAGUGGCGGCGCCGAAGUGAUCAACCCAAUGAGUGUGUAGCACCUCCACUAUAUAUAUAGGCAUCCGUCAUGGGCUCAACACGUGGGCCUCACACGGAUCCUAAAGCCCAAAUUCUGUUUGGCCUAAAUCCGAGUCCAAGUAGGAUCACAUCUGACUUGUGGAGUUUGAUCUAGCCUCACAGGUUCCUUCCCUUAAGCGUGUGACCCCUUAGGUUCAAGUCGGCUUGGUCGCAGGUCGGAUCACCUCUGACCUGCUCGGCUGGUAGCGGCCUCUAGCAAGGCGUGCCGACCACCAAGUAGACAAUGAAGCCGGUUGGCGAACCUGUAUUACAUGUCACACUUAUGUUUCCUUUGCCACACAAUAUAUGUUGUCAGGCUUAAGGUGAGUCUGUCAUCCUUGUGCUAGCCCGACAUCUUUCUCGUUCUAGUGAUGCCGACCACAAACCGGAUUAUAUUAUAAUCCUUGUCGCCUGACCAUGUUUAUCUUGGUUGGAUCACACGAGGGGCCCAGAGUAUAUAUCUUCUGAUCGGAGGGGCAAAUCCCAUAUUGCUCGACCAUGUCUCGCAGCAUGGGUCUGGACAAGUCUGAAACCUACCUUUAUAACUACCCAGUUACGGAGUAACGUUUGGUCUGCCCAAAGCAGGGUUGUCACCAUCACGAGUACAUGCGCCAGCUCAAGUCUUAGGACAUAGAAUGUAUGUUGUACUAGAGACUCACAAAUGAUAUAUUGUUGCGUCUCAUAGUUGGGUCUGCUCGACUCAGAUCCGACUAUGUCGAAUCCAACCAGAUCCUUCCGAGUCCAUAUUAUCCGGUUAGCAUCAAAUGCUCCAUGACUAGUGAGACCAAGCCAUUGUUCAUGUCAUAUGCUAGUCUAGUCGGUUGCACGUCCACACAGCCUUUUCGGGUAGGGACCUUUUAGGACAGUCAUCAUAUAAUGCAUAGUCUCACAAACAAGUCACGUACUUGUUGAUAUACAUCAUUGAUAAUGUCCAAGGACUAUCUUUAUUCAUAAACACAUAGAAAAUAUCAUCAUACAUGAUUGCCUCUAGGGCAUAUCUCCAAUAAGACAUGCCAUCAAACUCCAGAUCUGUCACCCCUGUACGACUAAGACGUCGGAAGAGGACACCAUACAUGCCUACCACGAACCACAAUCUAGACACAUGAUACAACAUAUUCCAGAUGCCGACGAUGCAGACCACAAUUUGCAUCUGCUCCUCAACUACCUCCCAAGCUCCACGCCGGCACUGGAGCAAAUGUCGGUGCAAUGGCGGAGCCCGAGGACACAAGUCCACCAUGAGGAUGCCGCCGCCACACCGUUAUUGCUUGAACAGACUGGUUUCCAAAUUCAACCCCAACCAUAUCACGGAUCGCCUCGUCGGGAAAGGAUCUGAAGAUUCUUUAUUCAGCGCCGCCAUCGCCACGGCCGAGGCCAUGUCAUUGAACAACCCAAAAAACUAUGCUACUAAAGCCAAAAAUGAUCCACACGCGUGGANNNNNNNNNNNNNNNNNNNNNNNNNNNNNNNNNNNNNNNNNNNNNNNNNNNNNNNNNNNNNNNNNNNNNNNNNNNNNNNNNNNNNNNNNNNNNNNNNNNNNNNNNNNNNNNNNNNNNNNNNNNNNNNNNNNNNNNNNNNNNNNNNNNNNNNNNNNNNNNNNNNNNNNNNNNNNNNNNNNNNNNNNNNNNNNNNNNNNNNNNNNNNNNNNNNNNNNNNNNCGAGGUUGCCAGGGGACGGUGGCAGCAGACAAGAUUGCCUUUCUUUCUUCUCCUAGAAGAAAGAAAACGAUCGAGGAAAAAAUUGCUUUGUGCUUUUGCAAACCGAGUCGUUGAAAACCAUGGCAUGGUGAUAAAUGCGAGUCCCACUUAUGUUUCCUUUGCCACACAAUAUAUGUUGUCAGGCUUAAGGUGAGUUUGUCAUCCUUGUGCUAGCCUGACAUCUUUCCCGUUCUAUUGAUGCCGACCACAAACCGAAUUAUAUCAUAAUCCUUGUCGCCUGACCAUGUUUAUCUUGGUUGGAUCACACGAGGGGCCCAGAGUAUAUCUCUUCUAAUCGGAGGGGCAAAUCCCAUAUUGCUCGACCAUGUCUCGCAGCAUGGGUCUGGAAAAGUCCGAAACCUACCUUUAUAACUACCCAGUUACGGAGUAACGUUUGGUCGGCCCAAAGCAGGGUUGUCACCAUCACGAGUACAUGCGCCAGCUCAAGUCUUAGGACAUAAAAUGUUACGUUGUACUAGAGACUCACAGAUGAUAUAUCGUUGCGUCUCAUAGUUGGGUCUGCCCGACUCAGAUCCAACCAUGUCGAAUCCAACCAGAUCCUUCCGAGUCCAUAUUAUCCGGUUAGCAUCAAAUGCUCCAUGACUAGUGAGACCAAACCAUCGACCGUGUCAUAUGCUAGUCUAGUCGGCUGCACGUCCACACAGCCCUUUCGAGUAGGGACCUUUUAGGACAGUCAUCAUAUAAUGCAUAGUCUCACAAACAAGUCACGUACUUGUUAAUACACAUGAUUGAUAAUGUCCAAGGACUAUCUUUAUUCAUAAACACAUAGAAAAUAUCAUCAUACAUGAUUGCCUCUAGGGCAUAUCUCCAAUAAGACAUGCCAUCAAACUUCAGAUUUGUUACACUCGUACGACUAAGACGUCGGAAGAGGACACCAUACAUGCCUACCACGAACCACAAUCCAGACACAUGAUACAACAUAUUCCAGAUGCCGACGAUGCAGACCACAAUUUGCAUCCGCUCCUCAACUACCUCCCAAGCUCCACGCCGGUGCUGGAGCAAAUGCCGGUGCAACGGCGGAGCCCGAGGACACAAGUCCACCACGAGGAUGCCGCCGCCACACCGUCAUUGCUUGAACAGACUGGUUUCCAAAUUCAACCCCAACCAUAUCACAGAUCGCCUCGUCGGGAAAGGAUCUGAAGAUUCUUUAUUCAGCACCGCCAUCGCCACGGCCGAGGCCAUGUCAUUGAACAAUCCAAAAACCUAAGCUACUAGAGCCGAAAAUGAUCCACACGCGUGGAUCCGAUGGCCCCCCUCGCCACCGAUGACCGAGGUCGCCGGGGGACGGCGGCAGCAGACAAGAUUGCCUUUCUUUCUUCUCCUAGAAGAAAGAAAACGAUCGAGGAAAAAAUUGCUUUGUGCCUUUGCAAACCUAGUCGUUGAAAACCAUGGNNNNNNNNNNNNNNNNNNNNNNNNNNNNNNNNNNNNNNNNNNNNNNNNNNNNNNNNNNNNNNNNNNNNNNNNNNNNNNNNNNNNNNNNNNNNNNNNNNNNNNNNNNNNNNNNNNNNNNNNNNNNNNNNNNNNNNNNNNNNNNNNNNNNNNNNNNNNNNNNNNNNNNNNNNNNNNNNNNNNNNNNNNNNNNNNNNNNNNNNNNNNNNNNNNNNNNNNNNNNNNNNNNNNNNNNNNNNNNNNNNNNNNNNNNNNNNNNNUAUGGUAAGUUAAGUCAAUAAAAUUCCAAGUGUCAAGUCAAAAAAGAGAGAAGAUUAAAAUAAGAGGUCAAAGGAGAAAGCUCAUGAAGAAAGAAGCCCAUCAUAGUGGAUGGAUGGAAGUGUUGAAAGUUAGAUGGUUUUUAGGCACAUAUAACAAAUAAUCUCUAGAUAAAUCGCAUAUGCCCAUUUGUGGUUUCAUGAUUCUUUGGACAAAAAAUAUGUGGUUUCACUUUCAUGACAUGAUGUGAAGUGACUGAAUACAAGUAAAAGGAUGCAACUUAUAUACAACAAAACCAGACAACUUACAAAUAGCAAAGAAUAUAUUGAACAGGGCCUCCGCUUUUCUUAACAGAGCACUGUAACACGACCCAAGUAAGCGUCGCUUACAGAUAUUUGAGCAAUUUUCCAUGGUGAUUUUACAAAAGUUUCCUCUUGAUGCUAAACUAUAGCUCUAACUGAGUCAAAUACUCUGCAAACAAAUCGAAAUACAACACCCAUGUCAAACAUAGCCGAUCAGAAUUCAGACUUGACAUGAUCUCAGUCCAGCAAUUUAAAGCCAGACCCUUGUCAAUGAGCGCCCCAGUAGGGUAUGACGCCCGCGUUGACGCCGACCAUAAAGCCAACCCACAAAAAGAGAGCCACGUAAAACAGGCCGGUCGCCAGCGGCGAGCAGGGCCACGGGCACGCCGGCGCGAAGCCGUCGCCCUCGUCGCGCGCGCCGUCCUCCACCUUCGAGUACGCCCUCCUGGCCGCCAGGAACUGCUGCUCGUCGUCGAAGUAGGCCGCCGAGCCGCUGUGGUACCAGUAGCCGCCCACCGGCCCCUGGAACGCGCCCAGCGGCGGCAGCCUGGGGCACGCCCGCGGCCCGCCACCGCCGGACCUGGUGACGAGCACGGUGGGGCAGGGCUCCCUGCAGAUGCAGCACCGGCGGCUGGCGUGCUGGGGCUUGGAGCCGACGCGCAUGCGGACCGCGCAGUCCGAGCAGACCUCGCGGUGGCCGCACGGCCCGAUCGCCACCCACUCGAGCGGCUCCAUGCACACCCCGCACUCGGACGGCUCGGAGGGCGCCGCGUCGACGUCGACGGCGUGGCGGGGAUCGGCCGGGGUGGCGAGCUUGUCGCCGACGCGUUUGGCUCCGCCGACGUCGAUGUCGAUGACGUGGCUUGGAUUGCUUGGAGAGGCGAGCUGAUGGUCUGCGAGAGGCCCCGUGUGUUUGGCGCCUCCGCCGACGUCCAUGUCGAUGGCGUGGCCGCCGUCGACCUGAGCCAUGGUCGAGUUUACUACACGAUCGAUGGAGAGUAGUUACGUCGCUGUACCUCUAUGCCCUAGACUAGCAGAGUCUGAAUUCCCAUGGCGACGCUUGCUAAUUGCACCCAAUGUCAUGUACGUACACGGCAUAUAUAGGCUCGUGAUCCGACACCCGGCUGAACUGGCUUCCGGUUCGAAUUAACGUGGGGAAGAAGCGUUGAUGAUCGGACUAGGAAGAGGGUUAGACCAUCGAUCCGACUCGAUCGCAUCAUCAGAGCUGACCGCAGUGCGCACGGGAUGCAGGGACCAAUGACAACGUGGAUUUAAGAUUUUUUGCAAAGAAGUCCAGAAAUUCACGGUGGAUUUAUGAGUUUUUGUUUUGCAAAAAGUAGGGACUUCAUCUAGAAAAAGACAUUCAGAGAAACAGUAGGCAUUUUAGUUUCCAGGGGGGAUAGAGAGAGAGCCAUACACAGCAUCAACAAACAUUCAGAAGGGUUUUUAAUGGUAUCGUACAUCAUCUCUGCUGCUAAGCAUAUAGAAUGACUUUGACAAAAUUUCUACUUUUUCUAUCAAGAGGCGCAACGAGUUGCACGGCUGACAAAAAUCUUCCGGUAUACAAAUUCACUUCCGAGUCUCUCUCAUCAACCGCGAGAAAAUAGUAGUAGAAACUACAAACUAACACUUACGGAACACAUGAUUAAUCUCUAACCAGCGUCAGACAUCUUAAAACCGCCUUUGCUCCCUCGGCUUCGACUCUGCGACGGUAACCCGGAUCUGCCUGCCGUCGAGGUCCUACAGAACAAAAUCAUGCACUGAAUUAGCAUAGCUAUUCAGAAAACAAUGUGAAGGAACUGUACAAUUCACAUUAAACAAUUCAAACUCGACACUGAACAUAAUACUAUACAAGAACUUACCACGCCGUCGAGGUUCGAGAUUGCAUUGUUGACCUCAUCAGCAGAGCCAUAGGUAACGAAACCAAAGCCCCUCGACCUGCCGCUGUCACGGUCAUAGAUGACCUUGGCAUCA
rnacentral:lncRNA from 1 species